rnacentral:rRNA from 1 species
GAUGAACGCUGUCUACAGGCUUAAUACAUGCAAGUCGAGGGGUAAAGACGGGGACGCUUGCUACCCCGGGCGUCGACCGGCGCACGGGUGAGUAACGCGUAUCCAACCUGCCUCUGAGUGAGGGAUAAUCCGUCGAAAGUCUGCCUCAUAAUAAAUAGCAUCGUCUGCGGGCAUCCAAUGACAAUUAAAAAUUUCAUCAGUCAGGGAUGGGGCUGCGUAUGAUUAGCUAGUUGGUGGGGUAACGGCUCACCAAGGCGACGAUCAGUAGGGGACCUGAGAGGGACGUCCCCGACAUUGGAACUGGGACACAGUCCAAACGCCUGCGGGAGGCAGCGGUGAGUAGUAUAUGGCAAUGAGCGGGAGCGUGAACCAGCGAGGUAGCGUGCAAGGUGACGGCACUAUGAGUUGUAAACUGCUUUGAUGCGGGUAUAAAGGGGUGGACAGGUCAUUCAUUGAAGGUACCUAAUGAAUAAGGACCGGCUAACUCCGUG